UACGAAGGGGGCUAGCGUUGCUCGGAAUCACUGGGCGUAAAGCGCACGUAGGCGGAUUGCUAAGUCAGGGGUGAAAUCCUGGAGCUCAACUCCAGAACUGCCUUUGAUACUGGCGAUCUUGAGUCCGGGAGAGGUGAGUGGAACUGCGAGUGUAGAGGUGAAAUUCGUAGAUAUUCGGAGGAACACCAGUGGCGAAGGCGGCUUGCCAGAACGCGCUCGACGGUGAGGGAUGAAAGCUGGGGGAGCAAACCGG
rnacentral:rRNA from 1 species